UCUCUGGCCCCGGGAGAAGCUCCAACGGCCGCGCACCGGCCAGGCAGAACCUCAGCGCCCCGCGCGCAUUCCCGCUCCGGCUCCGCCUCCCUCGCUAACGUCACUUCCGCUCCUGGAAGAGUCCGGAACUAUAUCUCCCAGCCUGCCCCGGGGGCGCGUCCGCCCUCUCCAGCCCAGCUAAGGCAGGGGUUCAGCAGCGGAACCUGCGCAUGCACCAUGCGAACUCCAGUGGGGGGGGGAUGGAGCUGCUGCUGCCGCCUCCGUGUGAGCCGGCUGCCUAGAGGGUAUUCACCAUCCAACCCACACUUCAGGGGCGUUAUUCCUCGAACCCAAGAGGUAAACGCUCUUACCGCCCGGAGUGGCCGCGUCCGGCAGCUGGAUUCCCUCCUCCUCUGGAGCCGUCUUGUUUCCGUGUCUUUUGGAGUUCUCUUUAAAGGGAACGCAGCCGCCUCGGUCGAUUGUGACGACCCGAAGCCUGAGCAAACCACGCUCAGGGUGGCCACUCUUCGGUAUCGCCCUCGGCCGCUGGUCAGCGUUCCCUACAGGGAGAGAAGUCCUGCCGCGGUCGCCAUUUGUUAGCCAAAUAGGCUCGUUCCCCCUGGAGCUACUCAAUUACCCCAAGGAGGCACGGAAGACAGGAUGACGGAUACCAGACCUUUAUUCUCGAUCAGCUGAACGGGUGCCUCUUUCCCGGCUAAUGCCAAAGGAAGAGGACACACCUUACAAGCUCAGAGUCAGCCUUCUUAUACUUUGUAACAAACAACUUAGCGUGCAUACAUUCCAUUAACCUAUACAUUGUUUACAUUCCUCUUUAGGGGUAAUUAGGAUGCAUCUGCCUAGCGUCUAUCCUGAGUGUGUGGGGAGGAAACAGCCUAGAUGAUAAGCGAAUAGUUCAGAUAGUUAACCCUUGCUCUAACACUAGGUUACAAACAUCCUUUUCGUGCAGAGCUUCCAUUUCUCAAGUUCCUUUUACAGACAAGUUGGUUCUGCUUAACAUCUUUCUCCUAUGUAUUUUGCCUACGUGCAUUAAGUAGGGUUACAUACAUGCAAAGAUUAGCUGGGAAGAUAAUGGGCGGAUAAGCAGAAGUUGCCAAAAGCAAGGAAUUGGCACUCCCUUUUGCUCCAACACUGGGAUGAGAUGCCCUUUCCCUGCCAGGGCGGGGACACGAAGAGCAUGUGUCCCCCAUGGAGACUGCCCAGACCCCAGUUUCCCAAUCCCACCCACUGACCCCCAAACUACCAACACAGUUUUCCCCGGCUCUCAGUUGCCAGUCACUUGCCCAUCACCUGCUGCUGCCCUCUUCCUUUGUCCAGGGAGCCUUCCAGCUCCAGCUCGCCACCCCCUUGCCCUCUUAAAUCAGCUCCUCAAAGGGCUUCUUGCUGCCCAUGUGAAUGGUUGAAGUGGGGAACCAUCACUUUCUGUUUAUGUACUGGAUAGUCUCAUAAAAUCCAGUCAAACAGUCCCCCUUUCCCUCUAGUUAUUUAACAGCAACAUAAAAAUCCCCUCAGAUCUUGGUAUUUUUCUCUCAUGUUAUCAAUUGCUUAGCUUGUGACACGUUUUCUCUGCAAAUCUCCAAGACUGAUAUAAAAUAUCCUAAACGUUUGCCGCACUUCUCUCCAGUUGUCUAUUUCUAAUUGAAUAUGCCCUGAGAUUUUUUUCCCUGUCUCUCUAAUGAUAAAAUACAAAGAAAAUCUCAGAUUUACACCUUUCCUCAGAUUCUUGAACAUGGAUAUAAAAUUUUUGCAAAUGUUGCCCAUUUCCGCUUUAUUCAUUAAUCAAAUAUUGAUGUGAAAUACACUCAGAUUUUACCUCAUACCAACAACUGAUAUAAAAUCUCUCCAAUUUUUACACUUUCCUCUCUAUAAUUGGCAAAAAUGGAUCCAAAAUCGCUCAGAUUUCUACUCUUUCUCUUUCAUUUCUGAACAUUGAUCUCAGAACUCAGAAUUUCCAUCUUUCUAUGUCAUUAUCAAAUAUCAAUUAAAAAACCUCUUGGGUUUGGGGCUGUUCUCCAUGUGUCUAAAUACCAGCAACUUCUUCCUUCCAGUGAACCUGUUCCCCUGAAUCAUUCUCCAUUCUGGAUGUUGCAGAGGGUUAAAUUGCCCAGUGAUCAUCUUUCCCCUCUCCUUGGAGAAUCAUUUCUUCCCCCCUUUAUCUUUGUUAAAAUGUUUGCCACAGAAAAAGACCAGCCACAUAUUUAAUACACAUCAAAGCCAGAAGCCUUUCCCUGUUUGGGGAUCAGUGGUUCCCAGCUGGUAACAAGAGAGUUGGCUGGACCCUUUUCUUUUCUCCAGCUGUCACAGGAUGAGGUCACUCUGAGUGCAGUGUGGGUCCAGAAGUAUCCUGACAAAUGGCCUCUGUGAGGGGCUGCUUCCCACAUUGCUAAGAUGUAGCCACCUUGGGAUGGAUACAUGGUGACCACUAUUUGCUAGUGACAGGGCAUGGACAUGUCUUGUCUUUCUGCUGAAGGGCAGGUGGGGGUCCUAGGCAGGCAGUGAGUUCCCAGUUGGGGUCCCCUUGGGGAGGUCCCUGGCUGGUGGGGGCUCUUGAUAGGGGGAACCCUUUGGGAUUCCUAGCCUGGCAGGGAAGAUCUGGUGGGGGUUCUCUGGCCGGUGAGGCUCUGAAGGGUAUCUGGGGUCUCUGGCCAGGGAUUCUGGUGGUUAGGUCCCAGGGAGUAUCUGGUGGGACCCUGGCUGGGGGGUCUGGGUUCUGGGGAUGUUUGGGGGUUCCUGGAUGGAGGCUCUAGGGGCUGCUACUAACCAUAUUCUUUCUAUCUCAUCAGCUUGUGCCAGAAUCCUGGCUCCAAGCACAGCCCGGCAUUCCCCGGCCAGGCCCAGUCACCAUGAUAACUUUCUAUCCACUUAUCAAACUGUGAGGUGAAAUCACAGAUUUUUUUUUCUCCCCUUUUCAGAACUGCAGGAACUUCUGGUUCCACUGGGAAAAUUUGUGCCCCCCCCCAAGUCCUUGUCCUAGAUCUGGUGGGUGGGGGAGGUGGGAAGGAGAUCAGUACUGCCAUACAAUGGUCUCUUCCACAGCAUUCUGGUCUCAUUCUGAAAUCUGGUUUCAUUGAGACCAUGAUAAUCCAGAGUCACUGUAUGGAAAGACAAGGAGUUACUCUGGAUAGACAGCGGGGCAAAUUUGAUAAGCAAUUCUCCCUGUGAGGAGGGGCUCUCAUUAGCUGCUCUCCCCAGAGAGCUAAAGGAGGGAAGCUGCUCAAAUGCUCUGUCCUUCUCUGCUCAGGAUGUUGGGGUCAGCUUCCUGGGUCAGAGGCUGCAGCCUCCAUUGUGAUCUGGGAGACCAGGCUUAGCAGAUGCUUCUCCCCCAGAGGGGGUUCUGUGCUGGGAAGUGACCUUAAUUAAAGCUUCUUCUCUGCCCGGCCCAGAUGAUGACUUUCUCCAGCUUGUACUAGCCCCUUGGGGCAGACCUGGGCCCUGUUAAUACAAAUUCUAGCAUAGACUCUAGGGCUGCAGAAUGAGCUCCAUGUUUCGCUCUAGCUCAUUCCAUCCUCCCAUGGGACAUAGGAUAGAAAUGGCUGCAGUGGAGCCAGCUCAGGAGGGUGUUGGGCUUCCUACCAGGGAGCUUUCCCUGGACCCUGCUAGGAGCUCCAUCUCCUCUAUCAGUCUGUGGCUAGUAGGGGCCGGUGACCUUUGAGGUGGUGGCUGUGUAUUUCACCA